rnacentral:rRNA from 1 species
AACGUAGGUCACAAGCGUUGUCCGGAAUUACUGGGUGUAAAGGGAGCGCAGGCGGGAAGACAAGUUGGAAGUGAAAUCCAUGGGCUCAACCCAUGAACUGCUUUCAAAACUGUUUUUCUUGAGUAGUGCAGAGGUAGGCGGAAUUCCCGGUGUAGCGGUGGAAUGCGUAGAUAUCGGGAGGAACACCAGUGGCGAAGGCGGCCUACUGGGCACCAACUGACGCUGAGGCUCGAAAGUGUGGGUAGCAAGCAGG